rnacentral:rRNA from 1 species
GAGUUUGAUCUUGGCUCAGGAUGAACGCUGGCGGCGUGCCUAAUACAUGCAAGUCGAACGAACAGAUAAGGAGCUUGCUCCUUUGACGUUAGCGGCGGACGGGUGAGUAACGCGUGGGUAACCUACCUAUAAGACUGGAAUAACUCCGGGAAACCGGGGCUAAUGCCGGAUAACAUGUUGAACCGCAUGGUUCUACAGUGAAAGACGGUCUUGCUGUCACUUAUAGAUGGACCCGCGCCGUAUUAGCUAGUUGGUGGGGUAACGGCCUACCAAGGCGACGAUACGUAGCCGACCUGAGAGGGUGAUCGGCCACACUGGAACUGAGACACGGUCCAGACUCCUACGGGAGGCAGCAGUAGGGAAUCUUCCGCAAUGGGCGAAAGCCUGACGGAGCAACGCCGCGUGAGUGAUGAAGGUCUUCGGAUCGUAAAGCUCUGUUGUUAGGGAAGAACAAAUGUGUAAGUAACUGUGCAUAUCUUGACGGUACCUAACCAGAAAGCCACGGCUAACUACGUGCCAACAGCCGCCGCCGU